GACGAACGCUGGCGGCGUGCCUAAUACAUGCAAGUAGAACGCUGAAGAGAGGAGCUUGCUCUUCUUGAUGAGUUGCGAACGGGUGAGUAACGCGUAGGUAACCUGCCUUGUAGCGGGGGAUAACUAUUGGAAACGAUAGCUAAUACCGCAUAACAGUGUUUAACACAUGUUAGAUGCUUGAAAGAUGCAAUUGCAUCACUAGUAGAUGGACCUGCGUUGUAUUAGCUAGUUGGUGGGGUAACGGCCCACCAAGGCGACGAUACAUAGCCGACCUGAGAGGGUGAUCGGCCACACUGGGACUGAGACACGGGCCCAGACUCCUACGGGAGCAGCAGUAGGGAAUCUUCGGCAAUGGGGGCAACCCUGACCGAGCAACGCCGCGUGAGUGAAGAAGGUUUUCGGAUCGUAAAGCUCUGUUGUAAGAGAAGAACGUGUGUGA
rnacentral:rRNA from 1 species